rnacentral:rRNA from 1 species
GACGAACGCUGGCGGCGUGCUUAACACAUGCAAGUCGAGCGGUAAGGCCCUUUCGGGGGUACGACGAGCGGCGAACGGGUGAGUAACACGUGGGUGACCUGCCCUUACGCUCUGGGAGUAAAGCCUGGGAAACGUGGGUCGUAAUACCGGAUAUGACCUCAUGACUCAUGUUGUGGGGUGGAAAGCCUUGUGCGGCUAGGGA